AGUGGAAUUGCUAGGUCAUAUGGUGAUUAUGAUUAACUUUUCAAGAAACUGCCAAACUGUUUUCCAAAAUAACUGUACCAGUUUAUAUUCCCACCAGUAAU
rnacentral:pre_miRNA from 1 species